rnacentral:tRNA from 1 species
GGCAUAAUUAUAAUUUACGUUUCGGCCGUAAAAUAGACAGCGACCUGUCAUAUGCUU